UCUCUUAUCUUGAAUUGUUCUCAUCCACACAUUUAAAUUAUUUUUACUUUCCCAAUACCUUGACUUUUCUUUCCCAAUGGCUACACGAUCAAAAGUUCUAUUCUUUAUUCUAAUCCUCACAAAUCUCUUCCUCUCCCUCCAUCUCAGCCUCUUCAUUCUCUUACUCACAAAUUAGUUUCAGUCACAUAAACAAUAAAAAUCCAAGAUUUUUCUUACAUAUUGCAUCGUCAUCAUACUCUUUUCUUUUUCUUUUCUCUUUUUUUUUUUUUUUCAAAAGAAGCAUUCAUCUCAACAUUUUGAUAGAUCUCAUGGUGGUUGAGGCUUCAACAAUAAUGAUAAGGUGCUAUGAGCCUGUAAAAUACUACUUCACAGGCUAAUAGCAUAAGGUGCUAUGAGCUAGUAGAGUAAGGCAAGGAAGAGAUGCAGAGCGUCAUGAAAGGUAAGGCAGAGUAUCAGGUUUUAGAAAACUUUUAUUUUGUAGGUAUGGUGGGUUUUCAUAAAGGAAUCUGUGGGUCUUUAGAUGCGAUGCUUUGCUGUUGGUUUGCCGUGGGUCUGAUCAAGGAGGAGCUGGUAGAGAAAGGCAGGGAAGAGAUGGCAGAGAAUCGUGAAAGGCGAAAGGAUAUCCAGCUCGCUCAGAGGAUCAGAGGAGAGGGCUUAAGAUUAGAUGGGUUCUUUAAAAACUACAUGUCGUUUUUGAUUUAGUGUUUUUGUAGCUUGUGAUGUUGUGAAUCUUUUUGGGAAAUUGUACUGGUUUUUAAUGUUUAAAUUAGUGGAAAAAAUUGAAGUUUCGUGUUA